UUUGAGGGGAAUGUUGUUUGGCUCGAGGUCAAUAGAAACCAAAGAUCUAUAUCUCUUUUUCUCUCUAAGUCUUAAUAAAUAUGUACAUAUAUAUGUAUGUAUAUGAUGUUAUAGUCAACUCAAUUGGUCUACAGAUUAAAAACCAUAAUCUUUUUGGAUUAAUGAGGUUAUUCAUUUAGAGUGUUGAAUGAGAGAAACUUGAUCAUUGGAUGAUCUGCUGUACUCGGACCAGGCUUCAUUCCCCCCAAU
rnacentral:pre_miRNA from 1 species